GACGAACGCUGGCGGCAGGUCUUAGGCAUGCAAGUCGAACGGGUGUAGUAAUACACCAGUGGCGAACGAGUGAGUAACGCGUGGGAAUCUGCCCGUCUCUGGGGAAUAACGUUUGGAAACGAACGCUAAUACCGCAUACGCCCGCAAGGGGAAAGAUUUAUCGGAGAUGGAUGAGCCCGCGUUGGAUUAGUUAGUUGGUGGGGUAACGGCCUACCAAGGCGAUGAUCCAUAGCUGGUCUGAGAGGUCGAUCAGCCACGCUGGAACUGAGAUACGGUCCAGACUCAUACGGGAGGCAGCAGCUAAGAAUAUUGGGCAAUGGAGGAAACUCUGACCCAGCCAUGCCGCGUGAAUGAAGAAGGCCUUCGGGUUGUAAAGUUCUUUUAGUCGUGACGAUGAUGACGGUAGCGACAGAAAAAGCACCGGCUAACUUCGUGCCAGCCGCCGCAGUAA
rnacentral:rRNA from 1 species